GAGCCCGUAGCUCUAUGGUUAGAGCGUUAGACUUCAGAUCAAUAGGUCGCGGGUUCG
rnacentral:tRNA from 1 species